GAUGAACGCUGGCGGCGUGCCUAAUACAUGCAAGUCGAGCGAACAGAUGAGGAGCUUGCUCCUCUGACGUUAGCGGCGGACGGGUGAGUAACACGUGGAUAACCUACCUAUAAGACUGGGAUAACUUCGGGAAACCGGAGCUAAUACCGGAUAAUAUAUUGAACCGCAUGGUUCAAUAGUGAAAGACGGUUUUGCUGUCACUUCUAGAUGGAUCCGCGCCGCAUUAGCUAGUUGGUAAGGUAACGGCUUACCAAGGCAACGAUGCGUAGCCGACCUGAGAGGGUGAUCGGCCACAUUGGAACUGAGACACGGUCCAGACUCCUACGGGAGGCAGCAGUAGGGAAUCUUCCGCAAUGGGCGAAAGCCUGACGGAGCAACGCCGCGUGAGUGAUGAAGGUCUUCGGAUCGUAAAACUCUGUUAUUAGGGAAGAACAAAUGUGUAAGUAACUAUGCACGUCUUGACGGUACCUAAUCAGAAAGCCACGGCUAACUACGUG
rnacentral:rRNA from 1 species